rnacentral:miRNA from 1 species
GAUCCUCUCUGCUUUUGACUCAAUAAAAUUAUUUUACUUACAAUGAAGCAGCGCUAUAAUUGUAAGUAAAAUAAUUUUAUUGUGUCAAAAGCAAAGAGGAUC